rnacentral:rRNA from 1 species
AACGUAGGUUCCGAGCGUUAUCCGGAUUUACUGGGCGUAAAGCGCGUUCAGGCGGUUUGGCAAGUCGGGCAUGAAAUCCUUCGGCUCAACCGGGGGAGGUUGUCCGAUACUGCUGAACUGGAGGGCAGUAGAGGGUGGUGGAAUUCCGGGUGUAGUGGUGAAAUGCGUAGAGAUCGGGAGGAAGGCCGGUGGCGAAGGCGGCGCUCUGGAACAUUUCUGACGCUGAGGCUCGAAAGCGUGGGGAGCAAACAGG